UACAUAAGUAACCUGGCCUUUACAGGGGAUAACUGUUGGAAACGAUAGCUAAGACCGCAUAGGUGUGAUAACCGCAUGGAGAUGACAUGAAAUAUGCUACGGCGUAGGUAGAGGAUGGACUUAUGGCGCAUUAGCUAGUUGGAGGGGUAACGGCCCACCAAGGCGACGAUGCGUAGCCGACCUGAGAGGGUGACCGGCCACAUUGGGACUGAGACACGGCCCAG
rnacentral:rRNA from 1 species